rnacentral:rRNA from 1 species
GAUGAACGCUGGCGGCGUGCCUAAUACAUGCAAGUCGAGCGAACGGACGAGAAGCUUGCUUCUCUGAUGUUAGCGGCGGACGGGUGAGUAACACGUGGAUAACCUACCUAUAAGACUGGGAUAACUUCGGGAAACCGGAGCUAAUACCGGAUAAUAUUUUGAACCGCAUGGUUCAAAAGUAAAAGACGGUCUUGCUGUCACUUAUAGAUGGAUCCGCGCUGCAUUAGCUAGUUGGUAAGGUAACGGCUUACCAAGGCAACGAUGCAUAGCCGACCUGAGAGGGUGAUCGGCCACACUGGAACUGAGACACGGUCCAGACUCCUACGGGAGGCAGCAGUAGGGAAUCUUCCGCAAUGGGCGAAAGCCUGACGGAGCAACGCCGCGUGAGUGAUGAAGGUCUUCGGAUCGUGAAACUCUGUUAUUAGGGAAGAACAUAUGUGUAAGUAACUGUGCACAUCUUGACGGUACCUAAUCAGAAAGCCACGGCUAACUACGUG